AUUGAACGCUGGCGGCAUGCUUUACACAUGCAAGUCGAACGGUAACAGGCCGCAAGGUGCUGACGAGUGGCGAACGGGUGAGUAAUGCAUCGGAACGUGCCCAGUCGUGGGGGAUAACUACUCGAAAGAGUAGCUAAUACCGCAUACGAUCUAUGGAUGAAAGCGGGGGACCGUAAGGCCUCGCGCGAUUGGAGCGGCCGAUGUCAGAUUAGGUCGUUGGUGGGGUAAAGGCUCACCAAGCCAACGAUCUGUAGCUGGUCUGAGGGGACGACCAGCCACACUGGGACUGAGACACGGCCAAGACUCCUAGGGGAGGCAGCAGUGGGGAAUUUUGGACAAUGGGCGCAAGCCUGAUCCAGCAAUGCCGGGUGCAGGAAGAAGGCCUUCGGGUUGUAAACUGCUUUUGUACGGAAGGAAACGGCUCUGGUUAAUACCCGGGGCUAAUGACGGUACCGUAAGAAUAAGCACCGGCUAACUACGU
rnacentral:rRNA from 1 species